rnacentral:rRNA from 1 species
UACGUAUGGGGCAAGCGUUAUCCGGAUUUACUGGGUGUAAAGGGAGCGUAGGCGGCGGGGCAAGCCUGAUGUGAAAGCCCGGGGCUCAACCCCGGGACUGCAUUGGGAACUGCCCUGCUGGAGUGCCGGAGGGGCAGGCGGAAUUCCUAGUGUAGCGGUGAAAUGCGUAGAUAUUAGGAGGAACACCAGUGGCGAAGGCGGCCUGCUGGACGGUGACUGACGCUGAGGCUCGAAAGCGUGGGGAGCAAACAGG